AGCUCAGUGGAAGAGCCCCCGCUUCGCGUGCGGGGAAACCCGGGUUCGAUUCCCGG
rnacentral:tRNA from 1 species